GAUGAACGCUGGCGGCGUGCCUAAUACAUGCCAGUCGAGCGAACGGACGAGAAGCUUGCUUCUCUGAUGUUAGCGGCGGACGGGUGAGUAACACGUGGAUAACCUACCUAUAAGACUGGGAUAACUUCGGGAAACCGGAGCUAAUACCGGAUGAUAUUUUGAACCGCAUGGUUCAAAAGUGAAAGACGGUCUUGCUGUCACUUAUAGAUGGAUCCGCGCUGCAUUAGCUAGUUGGUAAGGUAACGGCUUACCAAGGCAACGAUGCAUAGCCGACCUGGGAGGGGACUGGGCCAACCGGAAACUGGGCACGGGCCCAAACUCCUAGGGGAGGCAGCAGGAGGGAAUCUGCCGAAAGGGGCGAAAGCCUAACGGAGCAACGCCGCGGGGGUAAGGAGGGUUUGGGGAUUGUAAAACUCUUUUAUUGGGGAAAAACAAAUGUGUAAAUAACUGUGCACCUUUGGACGGUCCCAAAGAAGAAAGCCACGGCAAACUACGG
rnacentral:rRNA from 1 species